UCUGGUAAAACUCAGUUCUUUACAGCAUUGUGGAAAAGUUCAUAAUUACUAUAUAAACUCCAAGCUAAACCAAAUACAGCCUGGAAGGUGUAUAUUGGGAGGUAAAGCUGAAAACAUAAAUGCUUGGUGAGGUUGGAUCCAUGUUGAAACAACAGUGAACUGAAUGAAAUCAACAAGAUGACGUAGGUGGGAGUGUCAGAAUGUCGCCUCUUAGAGCCAGACUAUGCCACAUGGUGGAGGAGCUACGGGCACCAGGUCCUGGAAAAAAUAUGGGAGGGAAGAAUACGUCCCAAACACCUCAGGUACCUUACACACUGUUCUAUAGUCCUCAACAAUUUCUAUUAACCUUUUGUUUCUUUCUAUUUCAGGUUUGUUGAUCUAGGUCCACACCAUAGCUUUCAACAAGAGACGACACACGCAAGAACUUUAUAAAAUGUAUUUUUUUAUUUUAAAUAGUAAAAACAGGGAAUUCGAAUUUAAAACAAAUAAAAUAUUGCAUACAAGAGGGUGGAGGUAAUAGCGAAAAGAAAGUUAAGUCAAAAAGCAAAAAGAUUAAAAAAAAACAAAAAAAAAAAACAC